UCAGCGGAGGAAAAGAAACUAACAAGGAUUCCCCUAGUAAUGGCGAAUGAAGCGGGAACAGCUCAAAUUUGAAAUCUCCGUCGCUUGCGACGGCGAAUUGUAGUUUCGAGAAGCACUUUCUAGGCGAUCCGGGGCCGUCCAAGUUGCUUGGAACAGCACGUCAUAGAGGGUGACAACCCCGUCUGUGGCGGAACCGGACGCUGACGAUGUGCUUUCGACGAGUCGGGUUGUUUGGGAAUGCAGCCCAAAAUGGGUGGUAAACUCCAUCUAAAGCUAAAUACUGGCACGAGACCGAUAGCGAACAAGUACCGUGAGGGAAAGAUGAAAAGCACUUUGAAAAGAGAGUUAAAAAGUACGUGAAACCGUUAAAAGGGAAACGAAUGAGGUUAGCAAUGCGUUCCGCGAGAUUCAGCCGGUGGUUGGGUCGGGCGGGCGGUUUGCGGAUCUGAAUGGACCGCGGCCGUCCGGGUCGGUCCCCUCGACCGUCGCACUUCUCACGAACGCGCGUCAGCGUCGGUAGGGACUGGGUCUCAAAGGCGCCGGGAAGGUAGGUCUGCCCCUUCGGGGGCGGACUGUUAUAGACCGGCGUUCUCAUGGCUCGGAUCCUACCGAGGUGCCGCGGCACGUGCCUCUUGUGGCUGGGGUCCCGUCGUUCCGGUCGGUAGUCGACUGCGGUGGACUGCGUGCAGUGCAUCGCGACCGCUGCCGGUCGCUUUGGCGGUGACUUCACACGACGUGCCUAGGACGUUGGCGGUGACAUGGCCCCAUCCGACCCGUCUUGAAACACGGACCAAGGAGUCUAACAUGUGCGCGAGUCUUUGAGCGAUCGAAACUCGCAGGCGGAAUGAAAGUGAAGGCGGCUUCGGCCGCUGAGGUGAGAACCCCUCUUCGCGGGGGGCGCAUCAUCGACCGACCUAUUCUACUCUUAGGAAGGUUUGAGUAAGAGCGCAUCUGUUGGGACCCGAAAGAUGGUGAACUAUGCCUGAAUAGGGUGAAGUCAGAGGAAACUCUGAUGGAGGCUCGUAGCGAUUCUGACGUGCAAAUCGAUCGUCAAAUUUGGGUAUAGGGGCGAAAGACUAAUCGAACCAUCUAGUAGCUGGUUCCCUCCGAAGUUUCCCUCAGGAUAGCUGGAACUCAUUGCAGUUUUAUCAGGUAAAGCGAAUGAUUAGAGGUCUUGGGAUUAAAACAAUCUUAACCUAUUCUCAAACUUUAAAUUGGUAAGAAGCCCGACUUGCUUGAGUGAAGCCGGACAACGAAUGCGAGUUCCUAGUGGGCCAUUUUUGGUAAGCAGAACUGGCGAUGCGGGAUGAACCGAACGCGCGGUUAAGGUGCCUAAGUCGACGCUCAUCAGACACCACAAAAGGUGUUGGUUGCUACAGACAGCAGGACGGUGGCCAUGGAAGUCGGAACCCGCUAAGGAGUGUGUAACAACUCACCUGCCGAAGCAACUAGCCCUGAAAAUGGAUGGCGCUCAAGCGUCGCACCUAUACCGUGCCGUCGGGGCAAAUGCCAAGCCCCGACGAGUAGGAGGGCGCGGCGGUCGUGACGCAGCCUCUGGCGCGAGCCUGGGUGAAACGGCCGCUGGUGCAGAUCUUGGUGGUAGUAGCAAAUAUUCAAAUGAGAGCUUUGA
rnacentral:rRNA from 1 species